ensembl:piRNA 21ur-4424 ncRNA
AUCGUAUUUAUUUCAGUUUAU